GACGAACGCUGGCGGCGUGCUUAACACAUGCAAGUCGAACGGAAAGGCCCUGCUUUUGUGGGGUGCUCGAGUGGCGAACGGGUGAGUAACACGUGAGUAACCUGCACUUGACUUUGGGAUAACUUCAGGAAACUGGGGCUAUUACCGGAUAGGAGCUCCUGCUGCACGGUGGGGGUUGGAAAGUUUCGGCGGUUCGGGAUGGACUCGCGGCUUAUCCGCUUGUUGGUGUGGUAGUGACUUACCAGGCUUUUGACGGGUAGCCGGCCUGGGAGGGUGACCGGCCACAUUGGGACUGCGAUACGGCGCAGACUCCUACGGGAGGCAGCAGUGGGGAAUAUUGCACAGUGGGCGGAAGCCUGAUGCAGCAACGCCGCGUGCGGGAUGACGGCCUUCUGGUUGUGAACCGCUUUCUCCUGUGACGAAGCGUGAGUGACGGUAAUGGGUAAAGAAGCACCGGCUAACUACGUG
rnacentral:rRNA from 1 species